rnacentral:tRNA from 2 species
GGGCCUAUAGCUCAGUUAGCUAGAGCGCACCCCUGAUAAGGGUGAGGUGAGAGGUGCAAUUCCUCUUAGGCCCA